CGGGUGAGUAACACGUGGAUAACCUACCUAUAAGACUGGAUAACUUCGGGAAACCGGAGCUAAUACCGGAUAAUAUAUUGAACCGCAUGGUUCAAUAGUGAAAGACGGUUUUGCUGUCACUUAUAGAUGGAUCCGCGCUGCAUUAGCUAGUUGGUAAGGUAACGGCUUACCAAGGCAACGAUGCGUAGCCGACCUGAGAGGGUGAUCGGCCACACUGGAACUGAGACACGGUCCAGACUCCUACGGGAGGCAGCAGGC
rnacentral:rRNA from 1 species